UCAACGGGGUGCCUGCAAAAGGCUGAGAGAAACCCGUCGAACCUGAUUCGGUUAAUACCGACGUAGGGAUUUG
rnacentral:ncRNA from 1 species